GCAGUAUAUUGCAACUAAACCUGACAAGUUUGGGAUCAAGUUUUGGGUGGCUUGCGACCUAAAAUCCAAGUACAUUUGUAAUGUCCUCCCAUAUCUUGGCAAGGACCCUAGUCGUCCCAGUGGAGAGAGACUGUCUGAAAAUGUAGUGAUGAGGCUGAUGGAACCAUUCCUAGACAAGGGCAGAAAUGUUACCACGGACAAUUUCGUCACAUCGCUGUCACUUGCGCAUAAACUUCUUAGCCGGAAAAAACCACCAUCCUCGGCACAGUCAACAAGAUUCGCCAGGAAAUCCCUCAAUCCGCUAGACACACAGAUCGCAAUGAAUUCACCACUCAGGUGUUUUCAACGCAGGUGGGAAGUUUCUUGACUCAAAGUUGUCCUGAGGGCAGAAACGUUUGUGAUUGGUUCAAUCUGACAACCAAUCGCAAGAGGGGAGAGAAUUGCAGAGGCGGGGCCACCAGUUCCAAUCUCAACCGUCAAAUAAAUAAUCCCUCCGCGGUGCGCAGGCAAGAGGAACUGGUGGUUAUCAUUUCAAAGGAAACUUAACCAAGCCAAAUGAAC